CCAACCGCUCUCAGGCAAUGCGCGUGCCUUCGCUCUGGGCUCCCUGCCUCGCGCUCUAACCGCUCUUGAAGCUUUACUCCGGGAAGGCGCAUGCGCAAGCGCAGAGGCCUGGUUGACGGUUGGGGCCAACAUGGCGGUUGCAGAAUUCCUUACUGAAACCAGAGAAGCCCGAGGAACACUUCUCGUGUCUGAAAAGCGUCGUCCAGCGCCUCAGAGAAGUAGCUCCUGUCACUGAAAAGAAACUUGAAAUGUAAGCAAAAGUAUCAGCCACCAUUCAUGUUCUUAAAUACACUCAUUUGUCAGUGAUGUCAGCAACUUUCCAAAAUUGAAUUCUACCAUUGCUGACGUGAGAUGGAGCGAGAGCCAAGAUGAACAUGGGAAAGAAAACGUCCCAUGGAUGAGAUAAUGACAACUUUUGACCUAGAGAGCCUAGACUUUUUUAUGUUGCUUCUCCCAACUUUAUUCUCAAUGAUGAAAGAUUCCAAGUUUAACCACAAGUGACUUUAACCACAAGUGUCUCUGUGUUUCUAACUUUGGUUAUGUUCAAGAUUAUGUUUAAUAAUCAUGACCAUUUUAAAAGCUGAAACUGUCAAAUUUCAGUCCUUCAGACUAAUUAUUUUUUCAGUGAGACUAUCCCAAGUAGUUUAAUCUCACUACAUGGGAGCCAGAGAGCUGCUAGGGAGGGAAGACAUCAAGUGGAAAAUAGGAAAAGCAAAAGCCAGUUUGGUCUCCCAUUAGAAGAAGACAGCCAGGGCUCAAAAGCACACUUGCUACUACAUAGUACUUUAUUAUCCACACGGGAAGUAAUCUAUUAACACUGCAACAACACACACACACAUCCUGUGUGAUUCCAUUCACGUACAGUCUUAGGAAAUGGAAGCAAAUGUACAGUGACUGAAAGCAUAUUAGUAAAUCUGUGUCUGGGGUGGGGAGGGCCAGGCCUGGAAGAAGGGGUACAAAAGCACCGGAGGCUUUGGGGGUGAUAGGCAAUUUUUAAUCUUACUUAUG
rnacentral:lncRNA from 1 species